AUUGUGUUUUUGAGGAGACAGAGCAAGGUUGUUAUCUGGGAAGGAUGAUAAUAGAUGUUAGUGUUGGUUCCUUCCAAUUAUUGUGGUCAUUUUCUCCUACUGGGACCAUCUGAUUAAAUCAGAUAGGAAUCAAAUCAAAAGCACUGAAAGUUACUGUCUUUAAUUUGGUGUAAUAUAAAGGGACCGAAUGCCAUUGUUUUGUGAGAGUUGAUAUUAAGAUAGCAGGUGCUCUUAUCCUAGCAGUCCUCUUGCUCUGGUCACUUUGUUUGUUGGGAGUAUAUUUUCCUGACUCACAUCCAGGAUCCAGAUGCCCAAGACUGAUAAGAAGUACAGUACUACUAAUCAGCUACAACUGCAAUUAAACAUGUCAUUUCAAAUUAACAAUUACGAAUGUUCCUAAUAAGAGGCUCCAAGCAGAAAAGCUUUGGAGUUGAAGUGGACAAACCUUAUCUCUUUCCGCAGGCUGAUGUCUCACUUUUCCUGUGCACUCACAUUGUAUUGGGGCUUCUUUGUUUGGUUUCUCCAUUGCAAGUUCAUAUCCUGCCAUUUUGACUAAUGGAAAAAGUAUUCUUUUUGUUCUGUCCGAGGGACAAUUUUGUAUUCUUGUGACUAUGGUUAGAACCUUGACAUUGGCCUCUAUUGGCCAUUAACGAACACAAAAAAAACCCACUUGUCUCCCCUUUAUUUGUUGCCUGGUGAACCAAGGAGCCAUAGGUGAAAUUUAUGUAAAGACAUGUAAAAUGUGCAAAUGUGCUGCAGGUGGCCAAAACUCAUUAGCCUUUGAAGCCCAGUCAUGCAGCUCCACCCCGAAAAGAUCUCCUUCCAAUCUGGCUUUUGUGCCUUAGACCCUCCAUUGUCUUGUUUUCUGAAGGUAACAACACGUUUCUCUGCGUGCUGGUUGGAAAGCGGAGCACUCUCCCACACCAGGAAGAGCCUGGGAAAGUCAGAGAUUGACUUAUACAGGGAUCAGAUAAUGAGGGGUCACCCUGAAGAUUCAUUGAUGGAGAGAAAGAGAAAAAAAACACCAUUGUAUGGACUCUUAUUGAUAUCUGACAGUUUGCUUGCCAUAUGUUGUUUCUGGUAGAGACCAGUAGAUACUUACAUUGCGCAAAGGGGAAAGGGUUAGCGAAUAGCUCUACUUCUUUCCAUGGGUUUAGUAAUAGCUUUGUAUCAAAUUUUUUUUCAUCGGCAUUAGGUUUUAAGGGACACUGCAUUAAAGAAUGCAUAAUCUAGCACUUUUUGACAACGAAGUGACAUUUGUGCAUCAUACAAUAAUGAAUUAUAGGAACACUGUUCAAUGUUAUUUUGACCUGUGUUGUGCCCUUCGAAUUCAGUGACACAUGUAUUUUAAAACACUGAGUGUAACUUUCAUUGCCAACAUUUGAAGGCAACAUUGCAUCAAGAUAUCACGAAACGUGCCACAUUGUUUUGGAGGAUGAAUGAUAUCGCUAGGUAAUUUGGACAUGAAGGAAUUGUUUCUGUCAGGGAGAGAGUAUGUAUGGGUGCAGAUUGCAUCGAAGAUUUACAUGUGCAAGGUGGAUGGGAGCGUGGGAUUUGGAGCCUGAGACAAAUCUUAGAUAUCUACCAACUGUCAUGAUAUGAUGCGAAUCACAUAAAAACGAGAUAAUCUUUUCCCCGUUUUUCAUUGCUUGUUUCAUCAUAGUUUCUGUCCUUUUCUUGCCUUAAUAAAUGAAAA
rnacentral:sRNA from 1 species